rnacentral:rRNA from 1 species
UACGGGGGGAGCAAGCGUUGUUCGGAUUUACUGGGCGUAAAGGGCGCGUAGGCGGCCAGCACAAGUCAGUUGUGAAAUCUCCGGGCUUAACUCGGAAAGGUCAACUGAUACUGUGCGGCUAGAGUGCAGAAGGGGCAACUGGAAUUCUCGGUGUAGCGGUGAAAUGCGCAGAUAUCAGGAGGAACACCGAUGGCGAAGGCAGGUCUCUGGGCCACUACUGACGCUGAGAAGCGAAAGCAUGGGGAGCGAACGGG